AAUAUUUGUACUAGACAAGGUAAAAUGUAACCGGAAAACAUUGCAGUGUUGUAAUAAUCUUGGAGUACUCCUUAGAAAAAAAAAAAAAGAGAAAAAAAGGGGCAGGUAAAGUAGCUCUCUUGAAGCAGCAUGAACUUUUAUAUGAGGAUUCCAGAAUGUUUUUACUUUUCUUGUAAGGACCAUAACCUAAAUAAAUAAAUCUAAGAUAGAAAUAUCCCACCUGCCCCAUGCUCAUCACAAAUCAAACCCGGAGGUUUAAGAUUACUAUUCUUACCUCUACAAACAUGACACUUACCAAUAUAAUGUCUCUCAAAGGGGAAGGUGGGCAUAGAAAUGGAAUUGCUGAAAUGAUUUUACUGUAGAAAGAACUGGAGACCUAGGUGGUAAGAAAAUACUACAUUUGAAUUGGUCUCAAGUGUUAAAUAAUGGAUAUAUGUGUAUAUAGGGUAUUCAAAUGCUUUUGAUUUUUAUGCUGAAGAUUAAAAUUUCCAUUAGUAUUUCACCUCUUCAGUUUUGCCUGGGGACUGUUAAUUAUAUUUCUGAAAUUGCAAACAAAUAAAAACUUAAAAAAGUAACAACCAGAUAAUAUAGUAAGUAGCUGCUUUCCCCUUUUCUCUUCCCCGCAAGCAAUGUGCUAUCCUCUGUACAGCCCUGGACUAAAAGCUUACCUGUGUUAAUUCCCGCACUCCACAUCUCUCCUUGUACAUGAACAGAAGCCUGUGUGUAUUUUUUAAUUAUAAUCCACAGUGAGGUGUUAUGGAAGCCAGUUCAGCAUAAAAUCAUUCAUGUGAUACCUGAACUUUACUGAGGCGAAGUGUACUGUUAUCUUGGCAGAGCUCAGUGUGGCCAGUGGAUUUUGGAUGCUCCUGAAGUCGUAAUAUCUAUGUACAGGCUGCGUGGUGUGAGGAAGCAGAGGGACAGCAAGAGCUGGACUCGCAGCAGAAAAGGUGUGUGCUUGAAGAUAACAGCCAAGUCGAAGUAAGCAGACCUGAAACCACUAUCACCUGGCACAGUCAGCUUGAACUUAUUUGGGAGUCAGCAGCUGUAUGGUUAAUAUUAAAUAAAGACGUGAAGAGCUGGAAAGCAUCUGGAGAUGUUACUCGUUUGUCCAAGGAAAAGAUUCUCUGGACAAUUACUUCUUUCUGCUGAGCGAUGAUGGUGGAGCCAAAAGAGAAGGAAUAAGGUGAGUCUACUCCACAAGAACCCUUUUCACAAAAUCCAAGUGGUUGGGUCUCUGUGGGUUGUGUGAGGAUUACCUGAAUUAGGUAAAGACAGGGAAAAGACCCUGCAUACAACAUGCUUUCCUCCAUACUUGAUAUUUUUUCUCCAUCUGGGAGCAGUUUAACAUAAAUAACAGUUGCAGUGGUAAAUGAAAAAAUGUUUCUUACGUACAUGGAUGCUCAGGCAGUAUUGCUUUUUUUUUUUUUCUUCUAUUCUAGAGACACUGUCCUUUCCCUUGUGAAUUGCACUUGACUAUACCCCUAAAUCUAUACUUAGUCAGUUGUAGGUUUUAGAUUAGUGGCCAAGUUCAAGAUCAUUGGAAAGUGUGACUGUGAGACCAAAGCUGUAAUUGAGAACAGAUAUUCUGCCAUUGUUUUCUUUUUCAUUGUGUCAAAAAAUCAGGAUUAGUCAAAGUUUUGAGAUAUUUCUCAAGAUUUUUCUAAUUUUUUUAUUUAGAUUUUAGACUAAAUUUGAGACCACUGGAACCUAUCCAUUUCAAAAGAAAUUAUUAUUU
rnacentral:lncRNA from 1 species